CAGCUACUCCCUCUGUCCCAAAUUUCUUGUCUUAGAUUUGUCUAGAUACUGAUGUAUCUAAUACUAAAAUGUGACUUGAUACAUCCGUAUCUAGAAAAAUCUAAGACAAGAAUUUUGGGACAGAGGGAGUACUUU
rnacentral:pre_miRNA from 1 species